CCUACGGGCGGCUGCAGUGGGGAAUAUUGGGCAAUGGGCGAAAGCCUGACCCAGCAACGCCGCGUGAAGGAAGAAGGCUUUCGGGUUGUAAACUUCUUUGACAGGGGAAGAGUAGAAGACGGUACCCUGAAAACAAGCCACGGCUAACUACGUGCCAGCAGCCGCGGUAAUACGUAGGUGGCAAGCGUUGUCCGGAUUUACUGGGUGUAAAGGGCGUGCAGCCGGGCUGACAAGUCAGAUGUGAAAACCAGGGGCUCAACCUCUGGAGUGCAUUUGAAACUGUUGGUCUUGAGUAUCGGAGAGGUAAGCGGAAUUCCUAGUGUAGCGGUGAAAUGCGUAGAUAUUAGGAAGAACAUCAGUGGCGAAGGCGGGUUACUGGACGACAACUGACGGUGAGGCGCGAAAGCGUGGGGAGCAAACAGGAUUAGAUACCCGAGUAGUC
rnacentral:rRNA from 1 species